rnacentral:rRNA from 1 species
AUACGGAGGGUGCGAGCGUUAAUCGGAAUUACUGGGCGUAAAGCGUACGUAGGCGGUUGGUUAAGUUAGAUGUGAAAGCCCCGGGCUUAACCUGGGAACUGCAUUUAAAACUGGCGAACUAGAGUUGAGUAGAGGGGAGUGGAAUUUCAGGUGUAGCGGUGAAAUGCGUAGAGAUCUGAAGGAACACCAGUGGCGAAGGCGAAUCCCUGGACUCGAACUGACGCUGAGGUACGAAAGCGUGGGUAGCAAACGGGAUUAGAAACCCCAGUAGUCC